rnacentral:rRNA from 1 species
UACGGAGGGUGCAAGCGUUAUCCGGAUUCACUGGGUUUAAAGGGUGCGUAGGUGGGUCUGUAAGUCCGUGGUGAAAUCUCCGAGCUUAACUUGGAAACUGCCAUGGAUACUAUAGGUCUUGAAUACUGUGGAGGUCAGCGGAAUAUGUCAUGUAGCAGUGAAAUGCUUAGAUAUGACAUAGAACACCAAUUGCGAAGGCAGCUGGCUACACAAAUAUUGACACUGAUGCACGAAAGCGUGGGGAUCAAACAGG